rnacentral:pre_miRNA from 13 species
GUUAAGUUGCGCUUUUGAGUUGUUGCCGGUCUCUGAAUUGGUGUAUUAUAAUUCAUUAACCAAUUAGUUAUAACUCACAAACUCAAAGACCGGCAACAACUCAAAAGCGCAA